GGCUGGUCCAAAGGUAGUGAGUUAUCUCAAUUGCUUGUUCAGUCAGUUACAGAUUGAAGUCCUGUCCUAUACACCCCCCUUCUCACUACUGCACUUGACAAAGCCCACC
ensembl:Y_RNA Y_RNA Y RNA